rnacentral:other from 1 species
ACGUAUCUGACUCAGUCGAUAGUUUUUCGAUCGAUACUUUUAUAAAGUUAGGGAUAAUUGAUUUAUUUACGGUGUGCAGGCUUGCAAGGUGUGCCAAACGACGACAUACCUUAGCAAGAUGCCUAAAGUAGAUAGCGAUAUCCCACCUGCAUCCCUGGAUCAGGAAACAUAGCUGAGUCAGAUAUUUU